ACGGGAGGCAGCAGUGGGGAAUAUUGGGCAAUGGGCGAAAGCCUGACCCAGCAACGCCGCGUGAAGGAAGAAGGUUUUCGGAUUGUAAACUUCUUUUAUCAGGGACGAAGGAAGUGACGGUACCUGAUGAAUAAGCCACGGCUAACUACGUGCCAGCAGCCGCGGUAAUACGUAGGUGGCAAGCGUUAUCCGGAUUUCAUGGGUGCAAAGGGCGCGUAGGCGGGGAUGCAAGUCAGAUGUGAAAUCCAUGGGCUUAACCCAUGAACUGCAUUUGAAACUGUAUCUCUUGAGUGUCGGAGAGGUAGUCGGAAUUCCUAGUGUAGCGGUGAAAUGCGUAGAUAUUAGGAGGAACACCAGUGGCGAAGGCGGUCUACUGGACGACAACUGACGCUGAGGCGCGAAAGCGUGGGGAGCAAACAGGAUUAGAUACCCUGGUA
rnacentral:rRNA from 1 species